GACGAACGCUGGCGGCGUGCUUAAUACAUGCAAGUCGAGCGAGGUUACUGUUUUGGAUCCCUUCGGGGUGAAGAAGCUUUAACCUAGCGGCGGACGGGUGAGUAACGCGUGGGUAACCUACCCCAAAGUCCGGGAUAACAGCGGGAAACCGCUGCUAAUACCGGAUGCCUUUACCUUGGGGCAAUCUUGAGGUAAAGAAAGGCAACGACUUUGGGAUGGGCCCGCGUCCCAUUAGCUAGUUGGUGAGGUAACGGCUCACCAAGGCGACGAUGGGUAGCCGGCCUGAGAGGGUGGACGGCCACACUGGGACUGAGACACGGCCCAGACUCCUACGGGAGGCAGCAGUAGGGAAUAUUGCGCAAUGGACGGAAGUCUGACGCAGCGACGCCGCGUGAGUGAUGAAGGUCUUCGGAUCGUAAAGCUCUGUCCUUGGGGAAGAAGGCGAAAGCUUGACGGUACCCGAAGAAGAAAGCCCCGGCUAACUACGUG
rnacentral:rRNA from 1 species